GACGAACGCUGGCGGCGUGCUUAACACAUGCAAGUCGAACGGAAAGGCCCUGCUUGUAGGGUACUCGAGUGGCGAAAGGGUGUGUAACACGUGGGUGUUCUGCCCUCCACUUUGGGAUAAGCCUGGGAAACAGGGUCUCAUAUAGGAUAGAAGCCAUCCUUAGUGUGAUGGUUGGUUGGAUUUUUCGGUGUAGGAUGAGCUCGCGGGCUAUCAGCUUGUUGGUGGGGUAAUGGCCUACCAAGGAGGCGACGGGGAGCCGGCCUGAGAGGGUGGACGGCCACAUUUGGACUUGGAUACGGCCCAGACUCCUACGGGGAGGAACAGGGGGGAAUAUUGCACAAUGGGGGGAAGGCUGAUGCAGCGACGGCGCGGGGGGGAUGAAGGCCUUCGGGUUGGAAACUCCUUUCGCUAGGGGCGAAGCUGUUUGUGACGGUACCUAGAUAAGAAGCACCGGCUAACUACGUG
rnacentral:rRNA from 1 species